rnacentral:rRNA from 1 species
CGGGACGGGUGAGUAACGCGUGGGUAACCUACCCUCGUACACACGGAUAACAUACCGAAAGGUAUGCUAAUACGGGAUAAUAUAUUUGAGAGGCAUCUCUUGAAUAUCAAAGGUGAGCCAGUACAGGAUGGACCCGCGCUGAUUAGCUAGUUGGUAAGGUAACGGCUUACCAAGGCGACGAUCAGUAGCCGACCUGAGAGGGUGAUCGGCCACAUUGGGACUGAGACACGGCCCAG